rnacentral:lncRNA from 1 species
CUUUGCUGCUUCCUGGUCCAACCCAGCCUCGCCGGCUCUCUUGCCUUCCUGGUCUUUCUCUCCUGGUCAGGCUUCAGUGGCACUGAUGUCCUAAUGGGAGAGACAAUGAGGGAAAAACCAGCGAAGACACUGUCAAGGGUGUCAGACACGGGCCAGAGUGGGCCAGGCUCCUGGGGGCUCUGUGGAGCCCUGAGCCGGAGGGAAGCAAAAUGCUCGGCCCAGACUGUUCCAGGUGCUGGGAGCAGUGGGAGCAUGGGCCCUGAGAAAAAGCCCUCUUCACCAUUUUCCUUCAGGCUGUGGAGGCCAGGACAGCUGACAGUGAGGGUGGCUGUGUCACUCAUGGCUUCACAGGGGCGCAGUCCGCGAGAUGAGGCGGCCAGACCAGUGUCUACAGCACAGGAAGCAGCGGCUGGCUGGUGCCCUUCACCCUAGUCGGAGCUCGGGUCAGAUCUUGGAAGGCCCUGGGGCCCCGCUCCCCACCUCCUGCUUCCCAGAGGCACAGGGGCAGGAUUCCAAGCCAAUGGAAGGGCUAGAGUCCUGGGACAAGUCCCUGCCCUCCUCUGGGCCUCAGUUUCCUCCUUGAUAAUGUGAGGCCGCUAUGCCCACCUUGUGAUUUUGUCCCCAGCAUAAAGCACAGCACCUGCCUAUGACCUGCCUCCUCUCCCUCUCCUCGCUUAGCAUCACUGGGCUCCUUACUGUUCCUUGAACUCACCAAGCCCCUUCAUAUCUCGGGCCUCUGUACGUGCAGUGCCAUCUGCCUGGAAUGUCCUGCCUUCCUGUCUCCCCAGGGCUGGUACCUUCUCAUCUUUCUGGGCUUAAACAUCACCCCCUCAGCCUAGAGAGCACCCCACCACCCCUCACUCUGCUUUCCUCUUCCUAAUGAAGGGAUGGAGGCAUCUCACUCUUUUUCUUCUUUGUGCCGUUCUUAGCUCCACAGGCAGAGACUUCAUCUGUCUGAUCCAUAGUGUGUUCCAGAGCUCAGCACAGUGUCCAGUAUACAGUAGGUGCUUAAGAAACAACGGCUUCCCCUGCUUCCUUCUUUGCUAGCUCCAAGUCAGCUGGGAGCUGUUUUCCACCUCUCUUGUCCCUCCUUCCCCCUUGAGGACAAAGCAGGUACUGGACAUGGGUUACUUGAAGGACUCAGGUAGUUUGAAAUCUGAGGACGUGAGGCUCACAGUGUCCCCAGGCAGUGGGUAGGCGGGGACUCCAGAGGCCUCCAGUGCAGACGCCCUGUCCUUGCUGCCCUGCCCUCCUUCUCCUCGGGUCUGUGGGCUUGCUCUAGGCAGGUCUCCAGAGCCAUCCCCACGCCCACACAUCUGUCAGCACCCUUGGGGGAAAGAAUCUGGAAAGGGGAGGGAGAAGAAGAAAAGAAAGCAGGGUGCAAGGGGGUGGGUUCAACACCUGUGUAAAUAAUUUGUCAUCUUAAGAGGCAUCGAGUACACUCACCUUUAGUGCCCGGUCCUUGGGCUUGUUUUCCUUGGCAAGGCCCCCACAGGAGUGGAAUUUCGGCCAAAGGGACCCAAUUGUCAUCUUCUAAGCAUGUUCCCAGGCCAGGGGCUGGGAAAGGCUCUGGCUGAUUCUUCACUUCCGUCCCCAGAAGUACCGGAAGGUUCCUGGGAUUUAGGACCAGCCUCCAGCUUUGGAAGCCGUCCCAGAAUUCUGGAAUGCUGGAAUUUAAACAGCCUCCAGCCCAUUUUGCAGAGGAGGAGCAUGAGGCCCAGAGGGGGAAGGGGUUGGCCUGUGGUCACAUGACAUGUGAGGUCAGCUAGUUUGCUGGUGUAAGGGGACAUUGUGGACCCCUCCAUUUCCUACUGGCGAACCUCCUCUUCCACAUUCCAGUCCUUGAGGUUUGGGGGGAUGCCCCAGGCCUCCUGUCUCAUAGGGUGCACUUGUUCUGCUGUAGUGACUGGUCCAGGGAUGGUCAUGUGACUAAGCUUGCCCAAUGAGAUUCUACCCUGGGACUUUGGUGCUGGGAUGUGUUUGAGAAGGAGAUGCAAUUUCUCAUCAGAUUGACAGUGAGCAAGGGAAAAGCUACCUGAGAGACCAGCUCAGAGCUGGAGACGGUCUGAACUCCUGGAUCCAGCCAUACCUGAGAUCACACAUUCUUGGCCUCCCUAGUUUCAUAAGCCACUAUAUUUCCUGUUUUUGGUGGGAAAGANNNNNNNNNNNNNNAUUUUUUUAAGAGUUUGGCUGGUUUUCUGUCACUUGCACACAGAAGUUUCUGACUGAUACAUAGGGGAGGGAAAGGGGAGAGUUUGCAGGGAGAGGAACUAGGCUGACAGGGAACACAAAGCAACCAUUUCCAGGGAGGCGUUAUGAAGCAGGGAGAAGAGGAAGAAUUUAAGAGUUUGUCAGGUGGCCGAGGUGGGAGAAAGGACAUGGAACCACAGCGUGAAGGCUUGGAAGGGUGACUGGGCGGCAGGCUGUGUCCCAGACUUGUGCAGGGUGACAGAGGACACUGGGGAGAAGGGCACUGACUCCACCACUCCCCGACAGCUGCAGCUCAGUGAGGCUCCUCUGCAUCUGGAGCUGAGCCUGUCCUAACCCCCACCCUGGCCAAGGCCUCAGCGUGCCAUCCUGGACCCCUAGAUGUGCUCCUGAUUCGGUCCUGGGCACCAUGAGUACCACACAGAAUCACUUCAGGGUCCCCCAACACCGUGAGAUCAGACUGGGUCCUGCAGCAGGAGUCAUUCCUGCGGCAAAUCUACAGCCUUCGGAACACUGCUAAACCCCGCUGUGUAAAGAGCAGACCCAGGCUUGGUCCCCUUGGGUGUGCCCGGCUGAUUUCCAGCACCCCGCACGGAUCUGCAGGAGGAGUGCAGAGCUGGAAUCCACAGGCAAAGGACAGAGCCGCCUCCCCCAGCCCCCAAUCUCUGGGCCCCGCCUCCGGAACCCCCUCACACCCAUGGGUUGCACGCUUUCAGUCUUUCUCUCUGAUCUGUUUUCUGUUGCUAUAAAUGUGCUUUUCCAGAGUGACACCUGUGGGAAUCCCAGGGUGUCAAGCCUGGUUUCUCCUCCAUGUGAGGCUUUUGAGAGGGGUGCACACAGCUGUGUGUGUCACUAGAUGGUUCUUUUUUCAUUGCCACAUAGUACUCCAUUGUAUGGAUGGGCCACAGGGUGUGUAUCCAGUUCCUGGCUAAAGGAUAUUUGGGGUGUUUUCAGUUUUGUUUUGGUUUUUUUUGCAAUUAUGAAUGAAGGCAUCAGAAACAUUUGUAAACUGUUUCACUGCAGAACUGUUUCUCCUAGCUGCCUCUAUAAUGCUUUCAACCCCUUAGGCAGUGUGUAUAAAUUUCCUCCCUGACACUGGCGUUCCUAGGCUUUUGCUUUUUUUCUUUUUAAUUUCAUCCAUUCAAAUAGGUGUGCAAAGCUGGGUGUGGUGGUGCACACUUGUAAUCCCAGCACUGGGAAGGCUGAGGCUGAAGAAUUGGGAGUUCAAGUCCAGACUGGGCUACAUAGGGAGACCCUGGCUCAAGAAACAAAUCACAUAGGUAGAUAGUGGUAUCUCACUGUGGUUUUCAUUUAUACUUUCCUAAGGACUAAUGAUAUUGAUCAUCUUUUUAUGUGAUGAUGAUGAUGAUGAUGAUUAUUGUUAUUAUUUUAAUGUGGUGGCUGUUCAAUCUUCUUCCUGUUAAAGAAACUGGCUUCAGCUGGUGUGGUGGCACGUACUUGUGAUCCCAACACAUUUGGAAGCUGAGGCAGAAAGAUUCUAAGUUCAAGCCCAGCUUAGGCCAUUUAGUGAUUUAAGGAGACAAUGUCUCACAAUAAAAAUUUUUUUUUUUUUUUACAAUAAAAAAUUUUUUAAAAAGGCUGGGAGUGUAACUCACUGUGAAAGCCCUGGUUUCAAUCUUUAGAACCGCAAACCAAACAAACAAAAAAUCAAAAAUGGAUUAUUAUUAAUAGAUUUGGACAGUUCUUUAUAUAUUCUGGAUAUUAGUCAGCCCUUUGUAAAAAAUGUGAUUUGCGAAUAUUUUCUCCCAGUCUGUGGCUUAUCAUUUUAUUCUUGUAACAGGUAGGCUUUAAUAACAUGGUUUUGUUUUCAUUGUAAUUAUUUUUUCUGGUUCACAGUGAUUGGUGGCAUGUGUUCUUUGUUUUUUUAGUUCUAGUGAUAACACCAAGUGUUUCCUUUUAAAAUAAAUUGAUUUAAGUAGAAAGUAAGACAAUUUGAAGAAAAAUAUUGGGUAAGUAAUAGUAGAAGCAGGAAGCAGGCAGCACAAAAAUCAUGAAGGGAGUUACUAGAAUAGCCACGAUGCGGAGAGCUCCAAUUUGUUCUGUCAAAGAACGGACCAGCCAGUGUGCUAGGCACCAGGGACAUUGCAACAGGCAAGACAUGUUCUGCCAUUUUGGUUGCAAUUUCUCUCCAUUGAGCUCCUCUUCAUACUUCAGAAGCCAAUUCAAAUGACUUUUUCCCUGUCCAGAAUUCCCUGGUAUACUUGUCACACCCUCUUUUCUAUCUCUGUGCUAUCUUCCUGGGGAGGGGCUGUGUCUGGCAGCCUCUAGUAGGUGUGGCAGAGAGCCUGGUGCACAGGCUCUUGAUGAGUGGAAGUCAUUAGACAAUGCUGAAGGUGAGCGUACCAGUCUGAUUGGUUGAAAUUGGCAAGGCCCACCUCAAUGAAGGCCCAAGGCCCCUUCUGGUUGCCGGCUGGGCUGACCCCAUGCAACCCAAGAUCCAUCCCCCUUGGCCUCUGCCCCCACUGACAAAGACACGAAGAACAAAGCUCUCCCGUAGGCCCCUUUGCUGCUCCUACCCAGUCCUCAUGGCCGCCUUCCCCGAGUGGCUCUUUCUCCUCACAAACUCCAGGCGCCUCUUCGCUCCGGCUUCCCCACCUGUGCCUGGCUCUUCCACUUCUCUCCCUCACACCUGCUGCUCCGGUACCCCCAACCCCGUUCCCACCCCUGGCCUUUGCACUUGCUCUUCCCUCCUUCCAGAGCU